UGCACCAAGGAGGCGCCAUCUACGUCAUUCUUGCUGCUUUUUAUGUGCUGGGGGAAGAAUUGGCGAAAGAACAAUGCACUGGCUUUGCUUAUAUGGGGCAGUGCAAAGAAAAACUCGUAAGGUGGUGGUACUCCACUAAUAGCAGUGGAUGUUAUCCUUUUGUAUAUGGAGGGUGUAACGCAACGAAAAACAACUACCCAACCUGUGAAAAAUGCAUGAGGAGUUGCACCCAAAGAAAAGGCAUCAAGAGGUACUGUUCACGAAGUACUACAACGUGAAAAGUUGUCGACAACUUAAAAGCACGAAAGAACCAGCCGUCGCUUACAUAGAACGCAAUUUUUCGUGCUUUGCCGACUAACUGACGUUGUUGUUCAGUUUUAGAGCCUUGUUUGAGCA